UGAUGAUGGUGUGGGUAAUUUCUGAGCAUACCCUUAAAUCUCUCCCAAGAUGGGUAGUGAUUCUCUCCUACUUUCUGUUUGAAACUUAGAAUCUCACUUCUUAAAUA
rfam:Capsicum annuum cultivar Zunla-1 chromosome 9, whole genome shotgun sequence